GACGAACGCUGGCGGCGUGCUUAACACAUGCAAGUCGAACGAUGAUCAGGAGCUUGCUCCUGUGAUUAGUGGCGAACGGGUGAGUAACACGUGAGUAACCUGCCCCUGACUCUGGGAUAAGCGUUGGAAACGACGUCUAAUACUGGAUAUGAUCACUGGCCGCAUGGUCUGGUGGUGGAAAGAUUUUUUGGUUGGGGAUGGACUCGCGGCCUAUCAGCUUGUUGGUGAGGUAAUGGCUCACCAAGGCGACGACGGGUAGCCGGCCUGAGGGGGUGACCGGCCACACUGGGACUGAGACACGGCCCAGACUCCUACGGGAGGCAGCAGUGGGGAAUAUUGCACAAUGGGCGAAAGCCUGAUGCAGCAACGCCGCGUGAGGGAUGACGGCCUUCGGGUUGUAAACCUCUUUUAGUAGGGAAGAAGCGAAAGUGACGGUACCUGCAGAAAAAGCACCGGCUAACUACGUG
rnacentral:rRNA from 1 species